rnacentral:misc_RNA from 1 species
GAUGAAGAACGCAGCGAAAUGCGAUACGUAAUGUGAAUUGCAAAUUCAGUGAAUCAUCGAGUCUUUGAACGCACAUUGCGCCCCUGGUAUUCCGGGGGGCAUGCCUGUCCGAGCGUCAUUGCUGCCCUCAAGCACGGCUUGUGUGUUGGGCCCCGUCCUCCGAUCCCGGGGGACGGGCCCGAAAGGCAGCGGCGGCACCGCGUCCGGUCCUCGAGCGUAUGGGGCUUUGUCACCCGCUCUGUAGGCCCGGCCGGCGCUUGCCGAUCAACCCAAAUUUUUAUCCAGGUUGACCUCGGAUCAGGUAGGGAUACCCGCUGAACUUAAGCAUAUCAAUAAGCGGAGGA